rnacentral:rRNA from 1 species
UUUAUGGAGAGUUUGAUCCUGGCUCAGGAUGAACGCUGGCGGCGUGCCUAAUACAUGCAAGUCGAGCGAACUGACGAGGAGCUUGCUCCUUUGACGUUAGCGGCGGACGGGUGAGUAACACGUGGGUAACCUACCUAUAAGACUGGAAUAACUCCGGGAAACCGGGGCUAAUGCCGGAUAACAUGUUGAACCGCAUGGUUCAACAGUGAAAGACGGUUUUGCUGUCACUUAUAGAUGGACCCGCGCCGUAUUAGCUAGUUGGUAAGGUAACGGCUUACCAAGGCGACGAUACGUAGCCGACCUGAGAGGGUGAUCGGCCACACUGGAACUGAGACACGGUCCAGACUCCUACGGGAGGCAGCAGUAGGGAAUCUUCCGCAAUGGGCGAAAGCCUGACGGAGCAACGCCGCGUGAGUGAUGAAGGUCUUCGGAUCGUAAAGCUCUGUUGUUAGGGAAGAACAUAUGUGUAAGUAACUGUGCACAUCUUGACGGUACCUAACCAGAAAGCCACGGCUAACUACGUGCCAGCAGCCGCGGUAAUACGUAGGUGGCAAGCGUUAUCCGGAAUUAUUGGGCGUAAAGCGCGCGUAGGCGGUUUUUUAAGUCUGAUGUGAAAGCCCACGGCUCAACCGUGGAGGGUCAUUGGAAACUGGAAAACUUGAGUGCAGAAGAGGAAAGUGGAAUUCCAUGUGUAGCGGUGAAAUGCGCAGAGAUAUGGAGGAACACCAGUGGCGAAGGCGGCUUUCUGGUCUGUAACUGACGCUGAGGUGCGAAAGCGUGGGGAUCAAACAGGAUUAGAUACCCUGGUAGUCCACGCCGUAAACGAUGAGUGCUAAGUGUUAGGGGGUUUCCGCCCCUUAGUGCUGCAGCUAACGCAUUAAGCACUCCGCCUGGGGAGUACGGUCGCAAGACUGAAACUCAAAGGAAUUGACGGGGACCCGCACAAGCGGUGGAGCAUGUGGUUUAAUUCGAAGCAACGCGAAGAACCUUACCAAAUCUUGACAUCUUUUGACCGCUCUAGAGAUAGAGUUUUCCUCUUCGGAGGACAAAAUGACAGGUGGUGCAUGGUUGUCGUCAGCUCGUGUCGUGAGAUGUUGGGUUAAGUCCCGCAACGAGCGCAACCCUUAAGCUUAGUUGCCAUCAUUAAGUUGGGCACUCUAAGUUGACUGCCGGUGACAAACCGGAGGAAGGUGGGGAUGACGUCAAAUCAUCAUGCCCCUUAUGAUUUGGGCUACACACGUGCUACAAUGGACAAUACAAAGGGCAGCGAAACCGCGAGGUCAAGCAAAUCCCAUAAAGUUGUUCUCAGUUCGGAUUGUAGUCUGCAACUCGACUACAUGAAGCUGGAAUCGCUAGUAAUCGUAGAUCAGCAUGCUACGGUGAAUACGUUCCCGGGUCUUGUACACACCGCCCGUCACACCACGAGAGUUUGUAACACCCGAAGCCGGUGGAGUAACCAUUUUGGAGCUAGCCGUCGAAGGUGGGACAAAUGAUUGGGGUGAAGUCGUAACAAGGUAGCCGUAUCGGAAGGUGCGGCUGGAUCACCUCCUUUCU